rnacentral:rRNA from 1 species
CUACGGGAGGCAGCAGUGGGGAAUAUUGGACAAUGGGCGCAAGCCUGAUCCAGCCAUACCGCGUGGGUGAAGAAGGCCUCGGGUUGUAAAGCCCUUUUGUUGGGAAAGAAAUCCAGCUGGCUAAUACCCGGUUGGGAUAACGGUACCCAAAGAAUAAGCACCGGCUAACUUCGUGCCAGCAGCCGCGGUUAUACGAAGGGUGCAAGCGUUACUCGGAAUA